GGAGAUUAAAUCCAACCUAGAGAGCGGGCCAGCAGUCUGCUAGAAUGUCAAUGGUCUUGAGCCCGCAGGUUGCUGGUUCAGGUGAAGUUAAUGAUAUUUGGCGGGUUCUGAGGGAAGCUGGACUCACAGGAAGAUUUUGGACCACUUCCAUUUAACAUGAAGAGGUAUAAUGAGGCUGAGAUCCAAAUCUAUAAUUGAACUUCUUAUGUUUCAUCUCUACCUUACAGCUUAACUUGAAGGUAUCUUUGAGUAUCUGUGGAGUCCCAAUGAGAAAUCCCAUAGCAAAGACUGUGGGAUCUUACUUCUGACCCCAGAAGAUCUUGUUAAGUCUACAGACUUCAACAGAAUUGGAGAAUCUGAACAGAGCAGAGUUACCAACAAGAGAGCCCAGGGAUAGCAUUAACAUGGUGGCCACCCAAGACCCUCCUCAGCCAGUGAGACAUGACAAGGCCUGUGAGGUCCCCAUUGAAGACCCCACUGGCCGGGGCACCUGGCACCCAAUGGUGAGGCUGAAGCUGUGAAGGGCUCAGCUAAUGUUGCACCCAGGCAAGCCGACUGACAUUGGACCAACGCGUCAUAUGGUUGUGAGUGAAGGUCUGGAGAAGAGAUUGCCGUGGGACCACCCACAAGACAGAUCCAUGACAUUGGACUGCCAUGGCCUAUUUGGUCGUGAGUGAAGCUCUGGAGAGGAGAUCACCGUGGGACCACCCGCCCCACGAGACAGAUCUGAGGAGAGACAUUUGGUGUCAAUGCAAGGUGAGUGAGUCACCAUGGGACAAGCAUUUAGUAAACAGAACCUGUUUAUUUCAGGUUUUAAAGAUUUAUUUAUUUAUUAUGUACACAGAAGAGGGCACCAGAUCUCAUUACAGAUGUUGUGAGCCACCAUGUGGGUGCUGGGAAUUGAACUCAGGACCUCUGGAAGAGCAGUCAGUGCUCUUAACCUCUGAGCCAUCUCUCCAGCCCCUUAUUUCAGGUUUGAAAGAAUCUCUCAAGACGCAAGGAACUAGAGUAAAGAAAAAAGAUCUUAAAAAAAUAUUUUUUGACUAUAUUGGGGACAUUUGUCCUUGGUUUCCUCAAGAGGGAACUACAGAUGAAAAAAGAUGGAAACUAAUAGGAAAUUGUUUAAGAGAUUAUUAUCGCCGGGCGGUGGUGGCGCACGCCUUUAAUCCCAGCACUCGGGAGGCAGAGCCAGGUGGAUCUCUGUGAGUUCGAGGCCAGCCUGGGCUACCAAGUGAGUCCCAGGAAAGGAGCAAAGCUACACAGAGAAACCCUGUCUUGAAAAACAAAACAAAACAAAACAAAACAAAACAAAAAAAAAAAGAGAUUAUUAUCAAACUUUUGGCCCUGAGAAGGUGCUUGUUUAGGCCUUUUCUUAUUGGAACUUGAUAAAUGAUAUCCUAAAGGUUUAUUUAAAAAAAGUAAGGAAAGAUAUAGGAGACCCAUAAAAGCAGCCAGCCUUAUAAAAAUGAUUUACUGUCAGACUGUGUUAAGUGGCAGAGAUUCUAACCCCUCCCUUCAGGGAGAAACCUGCCGUUACUUCAUUCAGGGUCUUUAAAGGAGGUAACACAAUAUUAUCAUACUACAAGACCUCCUGAGAGUGUAAACUAGAACUAAUGAGAACUAAGACCUCCUGAGAGUGUAAACUAGAACUAUGGAGAACACUAUGUUCUCCAUAGUAGUAGCAGCGUCCUGCUACAAAGUCUUUUGCUAAAACUAUUGGAAUCUAAGGGCUAACUUGAGCCCUAAAUUUGCCCUGCAGCUAACUAGGAGCUCUGCUCCAGCAGCCUUCAUUUAAAUUAAUGCAAGCCUUAUAGCCAGUACCGAUUUAAAAACUAAUGGCAACUCCCAGCUCUCCUAAAAAGGUGUCCUUUUCUCUCUUUUUGGGUUGACUUUUAACUUCUUGAUAAUUUACAAAAAUCUUGGCCAAGUACAAGAACUUCAGUUAACUCAUUAAAAAAAAAAAACAGGUCCUGGUUAGGGAACGCCCUACUACGACCUGUAUGGAUUCAUCAGACACCGAAGAUGUUUGGGGGCUGGAAUCCUAAACAUCUGCCUUCUUCUCUCUGAACCUAACUAUCUGCUAUCUGCAUCUCAGCUCACUUCCACCCUUCUCCUCACCUUUGCCAUUCCCGGUGGCUACCUGGCUUGAUAUAGAUUGGACAAACCGGCUGCAGCUGCUACAAAAAAAAAAAAAAAUCCUCCUCUGUUUUAAUAUAAAACCUAAGUUCUAAGUUUACAGAGCCAACUAACUUAUAAAUUGUUAAAUAAGUUUACUUUAGUUAAAGAUAAUUAAAAAAUAAAAUUUAUUGAUUGAUUGGCCACCCUAAACUGUAAACUGUUAAGGAUAAGUUGUACUUAAGCUAUAGGCUAUUAGAGAUAAUCAUUAGGAUACAAAUUAAAGCUUGAUCAUUUUAUGAUCAAGUUCUCUAAUGUAUACAAAAUCAUAUUUAUAUAUAUGCUAAGUAUGCUGAAUUUCAUAUAAUCAAUUCAUUAUUUAGCCCCCUAGCAUUUAAAAUGUUUAAGCUUUGGACAAAACUGCCAUACCCCUUAUUUCCAGGGUUUUGUCCAAACUAUGCUUUGACAUCAUUUAGAUUAUAUCCCUAUUUACAAGGCCUAAAAGAUAAUUUGCCUUGCUAUCCAAAUUCAUAGAAAAGAUAGCUCGCCAAACAGAUUUCAAAAUAAUCUUUGACUGUUCCUUUGUUUAAAGGAAUUCACCACAUUGGCUGCUCUCAGUAAUUAAUCACCUAUAUCUCCUGAUGAAUUAAAUACAAAAAUGCUUUUAGAUAUAAAGUUUUUAUAGGAUAUGAAGGAUUAGAUAUAAAAAAUGUUUAAGAAUGUUAAAAAUAAUUUAUUACAUAUGUAAUGCAAGUCAUUGGAAUAAAGAAAUAUAAUCUAUAAACAUCUAGAUAUGUUAUAAAUGCUAAACAAAUCUCAAUAAAUAACCUAAAGAUAUUAAAGAUGUAUGCCUAAGUUAGAUCUAUGAAUAAAGUUUUUAUUGAGGUCUGAGAUAGAUGUAUAGGCUUUAAAAAUAAAGUUAUGUAUACCUUAAUACAAGAGUCUUUGGACCUCCCCAGAAGGGACAUUGGGGCUAAUUAUAGGGUGUAGCUCCUUGGCUGUAUGUACAAGGUUGCCCCAGGGAUGUGCGAUUCUGACUUUACUGGAGAGAUUAAGAUCAUUGUACAAUUCAGAUUCAUACAGGGCAGUGCCUAAGGGAGCUGCUGGUGUGGAUUCUAGUGAUAUGGCCUUCUGGAUUCAGGAAAUUAAAUAUUCCAAACAACUAAACACUUAAAAUACAGGGAAAGAAGAUAAUUGGCUUGCUAGACAUAAACAUAGAUGUUUCUUAUAUUUCAGAAAAAGAUUGGCCAAGUACUUAAGAUGACUAUUACUUCUUCGUCUCUUACAGGCCUAGGUCAAGCUAAUAAUGUAUUCAAAAGGUCAGGAAAAUCGAAUGCUCCUAUCUAGAUCAAACAAUGGCUUUUAAAUACUGAGAGAAUUGUAACUGUAACCUGUCUGGUGGAAGAGAAACUUAAAAAUAGGGCAUAUAAAGCCUCCCACCAGCCCUUAAAUCACCCCAAUAUCUUUUUAUUUAGGAAAAUCAGGCUUAUACACUGUUAAAACAUUUUAAGAAAUUAAAUAAAAUUUAUUAAAGCCAAGGAGAAUCUCACAGCCUGGCUUGCCAUCUCUCAUGUCAUCCCUAGAAAUCAAGAUAACAAUUGUUGUAAAUUUUACAAGAUUGCUUCUUUGCCAUACCUUUUCACCCUAAAGGUUGUCAGCAUUUCACUUUUAGCUUGCCUACUCACCCUGCCAUGAUGGAGGCCAAAGCUGACAUACAGAGCAGGAAAUGCAAGUUCUGUUUAUCCAGGACUCAUUCAUUGAACAGAGUUUCUCCUUUUAUAUAUACAGAUUAACUAUCAGAACUAACUGUCAAUUAUAGAUUCCUCACAGCCCCCCAACCUAUAUGUAUAUAUAUAUAUAUAUAUAUAUAUAUAUAUGUAUAUGUAUAUACAUAUACCUUACAAUACAUUUAUUGUACAGAUGAUAUUAUAUUUAUAUCAAACUAUGAAACUUAUGAGUCUAUAGAAUGGCAAAUAGCUCUACAGGAUAUACUGGCACCUUUUCAUAUGUCUGGCCAACAAUUAUAAAUUCUGUCCCUAUGGAAGCUUACCCACGAGGCUUACAUCCUUAUGAUUUAUGGUUAUGAAAUAAAAAGUAAUACACCAUAUCUUUCACUGCUUUUUAAUUUUAUGAAUGCCUUGAGCUCAUAUAUAGACAACAGCCUUACAUAUACUUUAAGAGCUCUUAAAAAUUGGUGCUUAAUUUUUCAGAUCCCCCACUACAGGCAUUCCUUAUUACCCCCAGGCCAAGCCACAAAGUCACACCUAAGCCUCUGUGAUCUUCUCACUGGUAUUUGAAAAGGUCCUGAUGUUUUCAUAAUGUCAGGAGGAGGAUACAUGUCUUUAUAGGACUGUUAUUUACCUCUAGAUUCUUGAAUAUGAAUAAAUUGAUACAAUUCCAGACCCUCUUGAAGAACUGUUCAUCAAUGAUAUCAAAACUUAUAGAAAUAUGAUUAGAACUAAUAAUUCUGUUCUAAAUGUAUUUUAUUAAUUUUGUCAAAAGACUUGAGAGAUAUAUAAAUGACACAUUUUAGAUUUUAUUCUCUGGCUAUCCUGAUGUUUUGUUGAGGCUCCAAGGAUUCAUAAUUUUGCUCUGAUAAAGUUUACCACUGUUAUAUUGCUAACGUGUCUAAGAUUUUGUCUAUUAAAAAGGUUCUUAUAAGCUUCAGGAGAUCACGUCGGUGGUGGUGGUGCGUGAUCAAAAUUUGCCAACGCCCACAAGCCAAGAAGGACUAGGAGGAAUACAACCUGACUACAGUUUAUAUCUCCCACUUACAAAUUUUCUUUUUCUUCUUUGGGGGUGGGGUCAGACUGCCCACAAUUGCAAAAUUUAUUAGAGGGAGGAAAGCGUAGGAUGCCCCUAUUCUUACUGCAAAAUUCAUGAUGCCAUUCCUCCUGCUAAGGGACAGGUAAUUGGUUUUCUUGCCCCUUGUGGCCUGAGUUUCCCUGACCACCUCCCUGGUCCCUGCAGGCCUGGUGGGAAAAGCCCUGGGUCACUCCCUCAUAACAAUGGCUCACCUAUCCCAACAAUUUCAGGUAGGAAUUGAGGCUUCUGAAGCAUCCUUGUCCUCCCUUCAGAGGCAGUUAACUUCCCUUGCACAGGUUGCCCUACAAAACCGAUGGGCCUUGGACCUGUUGACAGCAGAAAAGGGUGGGACAUGCCUUUUUCUGAGGGGAGAAUGUUGUUAUUAUAUUAAUGAGUCUGGAAUGGUAGAAACCCAGAUAAAUAAGCUACAUAAACUUAGCCUAGAGCUACACAAGCAGUGAUUCUCUGCUGUGGCAGAUGACUGGUGGAGAUCAUCCAUAUUCUCCCUUUUGAUUCCUCUUGUAGGACCAUUAGUCAGUAUCUUGUUAUUUGUAACAUUGGGUCCUUGUAGAUGUAACCAACUGUCUUAUUAAAAUAAAAAAACACAGAACCAAUGUAAAAGAGAAAGCCGAGAGGUCAGAGCUCAGAGCUAAAAUCUUACCUCCUGCAGUGCU